rnacentral:rRNA from 1 species
GACGAACGCUGGCGGCGUGCUUAACACACGCAAGUCGAACGGAAAGGCCCUGCAUCUGUGGGGUGCUCGAGUGGCGAACGGGUGAGUAACAAGUGAGUAACCUGCCCCUGACUUUGGGAUAACAUCAGGAAACUGGGGCUAAUACCGGAUAGGAGCUUCUGCUGCACGGUGGGGGUUGGAAAGUUUCGGCGGUUGUGGCUGGACUCGCGGCUUAUCAGCUUGUUGGUGGGGUAGAGGCGUACCAAGGCAUUGACGGGUCGCCGGCCUUGGAGCGUGACCACCCACCUUGCUCCUGCGAGACGCCCCAGACUGCUACGGGGCGCAGCGGUGGGGAGUAUUGCGCAGUGGGCCGGCGCCUGUUGCAGCCACCUCCCGUUCGUGAUGCCGGCCUUCGGGUUGUGAACCGCUUUCGCCUGUGACGAAGCCUGAUUGACGGUAAUGGGUAAAGAAGCACCGGCUAACUACGUG